rnacentral:rRNA from 1 species
CCUACGGGUGGCAGCAGUGGGGCAUAUUGCACAAUGGGGGAAACCCUGAUGCAGCGACGCCGCGUGAGUGAAGAAGUAUCUCGGUAUGUAAAGCUCUAUCAGCAGGGAAGAAAAUAGACGGUACCUGACUACGAAGCCCCGGCUAAUGACGUGCCAGCAGCCGCGGUAAUACGGAGGGGGAAAGGGUUACCCGGUUUUACUGGGUGUAAAGGGAGGGUUGACGGCGCGGCAAGUCGGAAGGGAAAGGCAGGGGCUGAACCCCUGAACUGCUUGUGAAACUGCGAGGCUAGAGUGCUGGAGGGGUAAGUGGAAUUCCUAGUGUAGCGGUGAAAUGCGUAGAUAUCAGGAGGAACACCAGUGGCGAAGGCGGCUUACUGGACAGUAACUGACGUUGAGGCUCGAAAGCGUGGGGAGCAAACAGGAUUAGAUACCCUGGUAGUC